rnacentral:rRNA from 1 species
GUAGGUGGCAAGCGUUGUCCGGAAUUAUUGGGGCGUAAAGCGCGCGCAGGCGGUUCUUUAAGUCUGAUGUGAAAGCCCCACGGGCUCAACCGUGGAGGGUCAUUGGAAACUGGAGAACUUGAGUACAGAAGAGGAAAGCGGAAUUCCACGUGUAGCGGUGAAAUGCGUAGAGAUGUGGAGGAACACCAGUGGCGAAGGCGGCUUUCUGGUCUGUAACUGACGCUGAGGCGCGAAAGCGUGGGGAGCAAACAGGAUUAGAUACCCUGGUAGUCCACGCCGUAAACGAUGAGUGCUAAGUGUUAGGGGGUUUCCGCCCCUUAGUGCUGCAGCUAACGCAUUAAGCACUCCGCCUGGGGAGUACGGCCGCAAAGGCUG